GUUCUACGUGCGCGCUCCCGAGGUAGCCGUCAAUGCCCUCACCCCUUUCCUACGCAGCUGGAAUCGGAGCUUGCCUAAGACGGGUUACCUUGCCACUUGUAUAACAAUGAGCCAACUGUCUGUAUCUCUGCGCAAGUUCAAAGAAGAGGCUUCGCAGAGUGUGGGAAGUAAAGAAUCGGGAGUCAUGUGAUCCAUGAGAUCGCCGCCAUUUUGUGGGGGGGGUUCCCCUUUUCUUUUGUAGCUCAGCUUGAUGGAGCUUAGUCCCCCAACCAGAGAUCAACCAGCGGUGGAGGCAUAAGAGUCCUAACCACUGGACCACCAGGAAAUUCCCUUGCAUCUCCUUGAGUAAAUAAAAGUUAUUCACCAACUA